rnacentral:rRNA from 1 species
CCUACGGGCGGCAGCAGUGAGGAAUAUUGGUCAAUGGGCGGAAGCCUGAACCAGCCAAGUCGCGUGAGGGAUUAAGGCCCUGCGGGUCGUAAACCUCUUUUGCCGGGGAGCAGAGGUCCGGACGUGUCCGGGCCGGGAGAGUACCCGGAGAAAAAACAUCGGCUAACUCCGUGCCAGCAGCCGCGGUAAUACGGAGGAUGCGAGUGUUAUCCGGUUUUAUUGGGGUAAAAGGGUGCGUAAGCGGGCAGUAAAGCCGGCGUUCAAAGGUCGGGCCUCAACCCGGGACUGCCGUGGGAACUGGGUGCCUUGAGUGGGCGAGAAGUAUGCGGAAUGCGUGGUGUAGCGGUGAAAUGCAUAGAUAUCAGGCAGAACCCCGAUUGCGAAGGCAGCAUACCGGCGCCCUACUGACGCUGAGGCACGAAAGUGCGGGUAGCGAACAGGAUUAGAUACCCGAGUAGUC